AAAUAAUUUAGGGGACGCGCGAUUCUUCGCUUUUCCACAUUUUGGGCGGACUCCUCAACCCAAUUUCACUCAUACUUUUCCAAUUUUUCUAUCAUCCAUUCUUCUCUUUCGUAAUUUCACUCAAACUCUUCCAAUUUUCCUAUCACUCCUUCCAUCUCUUCUGUGAAACGUCCAUCGAUCUCCAAUUUCGUAUCAGCAAAAAUACUCAGAAACUGAAAUCCAUUGCCGCCUCUGAGCCGUCGUCAUCGCCGAGCCGCUGCUGCGCCGUCGUCAUCACCGAGCCGUCGUCGACAUCCUAUCGCCGCUGCGCCUUCUGCUCACACCCUCGCCUUGCAGCGUAGCAACCUUUGUUCUCCUCCCAAUUUAAGAUGCCAAUUUAAGAGGCCUAGGUUUUUAUUGAAGUAGCAGAGAUGAUCGAUGAUUGAUAAUUGUUUUGCUGGUAAUCUUUUGAAUUAACAAAAGAAGGAGGAAGAGAAAGCAAGACAGAAGGAUCUGCAGGAGUUGUUCAAAGUUGCCGUCAAACAACCUAAAGUUCCUGUUGUUAUAUUUGCAUUUGCAUUUGCAUCAUCGAUUUCCUGCAAUCUGAUCAGAAUAAUGGAGGAUAGGAAAGGCCAAGAGAAUUUUCAGCUUAUCGUCAUCACUCAUGAUGAGCGGUUUGCUCAACUUAUCGGCCAGAGGCAGUAUUGCUGAAAAGUACUAUUGCAUCACUAAGGAUGACUAUCAACAUAGCAUAAUUGAUGCGCAAGAAAUAUUUGAUUGAUCAUGUUCAGGGGGUCCAUCCUAUGGUUAGAGGGGAAAGGUGUUGCUUUUGAGGAUAAUGGCUCUUCCAAAAUUGGUGUUAGAUUUGAUAGGACUUUUCAUUUAUAUCGAGUUGCCUUUUGGAUUGUUUAGUUAUUGAAAUGUUGAAUUCAUAUAUCAAAAGAAUACGAUAUGAUUGUAUUUGUACAGUAAGUGCCUUUAUAUAGUAAUUUUGGGGCAUAAAAUCUUAGUA